rnacentral:rRNA from 1 species
UACGUAGGGUCCGAGCGUUGUCCGGAAUUAUUGGGCGUAAAGAGCUCGUAGGCGGUUUGUCGCGUCUGCUGUGAAAUCUAGAGGCUCAACCUCCAGCCUGCAGUGGGUACGGGCAGACUAGAGUGCGGUAGGGGAGAUUGGAAUUCCUGGUGUAGCGGUGGAAUGCGCAGAUAUCAGGAGGAACACCAAUAGCGAAGGCAGCUCGCUGGGACGUUACUGACACUGAGGCGCGAAAGCGUGGGGAGCGAACAGG